UACGUAGGGGGCAAGCGUUGUCCGGAAUUAUUGGGCGUAAAGAGCGCGUAGGCGGUCCGAUAAGUCGGCUGUGAAAGUCAGGGGCUCAACCCUUGAAAGCCGGCCGAUACUGUCGGACUAGAGUCCGGAAGAGGCAAGUGGAAUUCCCGGUGUAGCGGUGAAAUGCGCAGAUAUCAGGAGGAACACCGGUGGCGAAGGCGGUCUGCUGGGCAGUUUCUGACACUGAUGCGCGACAGCGUGGGGAGCAAACAGG
rnacentral:rRNA from 1 species